GGCCAAAUAGCUCAGUUGGUAGAGCAAGGGACUGAAAAUCCCUGUGUCCCUGGUUCAAUUCCAGGUUUGGCCACCA
rnacentral:tRNA from 1 species